rnacentral:sRNA from 1 species
UUUGGGGAUUUAGUACCCAGGAGAAUUGUUUUAGCUAAGUACACAAGACUGAAAAACAGGCUACAUGAUUUUAACCCCCAGACCUAUUUUAGAGUGCAGAUACUUUUUUAGAAUAUUAAGAUAAACCUAAAUCAAAUUUUUUAUAUAGAAGCUUAUGGUCGUGAAAAGUUUAUUGGUCAAUUUUAUUAUACUUCCUUAAAAAAUUUCAAAUGUGUUAAUAGUUAACCAGCUUUUUCAGAUAAACAUCUUUCUCCUUCAGCAGAACAUUGCUAAUUACUAUUUCUGUACCCUGUCCCUUUCUAUAAAAAAUUUCCCAAAAUUAUACCGUGAAAAAGUGUUCAAGUAAACACUGCUGUUGUGCCUUUUUUUUUUUAAACUGGGGGACUGCCAGUUUUUACGUGCUACAAAGAAGGAAAAAGAGGGGUGAUUGGGUGUCGUGGGUUACUGCACUGGAAACAGUGGCUCAUACAACUAACUGUCUUGGUGCCCUGAAACAAAUAGCUAAGACCAGACCAUAGAAAUACACAGGAGCAAAGAGCAGCCUCUUAAAUCUUCAGGCUAGGUAAUGACUUGAGACGAUUAUGCCCUACAUUGUAUUACUUGUUCGUACCUUCACAAUGGGUAAGUACAUUUGUGUCUAGUAAACUAAACUCAGUCCGUUUUUGUAUAUAAAAGUAGACUUAAUCAUUGUUAAACUAUCUUAUUUUUCCUUUUUCCUUUAGUCUUUCCAUCUACAGCCCACUGGCACUCCAGGCACCUACCUACUUCAAACAAGCGCAAGCCAAGGCCUUCCCCUAACUCUGACUGCUAGUCCCACAGUAACCCUGACAGCUGCUGCUCCUGCUUCUCCUGAACAGAUUAUUGUUCAUGCUUUAUCCCCAGAACAUUUGUUGAACACAAGUGAUAAUGUUACAGUGCAGUGUCACACACCAAGAGUCAUCAUUCAGACUGUUGCCACAGAGGACAUCACUUCUUCCAUAUCCCAAGCAGAACUGAGAGUAGAUAGUGAUAUUCAGUCAUCUGAUUUUCCUGAGCCUCCAGAUGCCCUAGAAGCAGACACUUUCCCAGAUGAAAUUCAUCACCCUAAGAUGACUGUGGAGCCAUCAUUUAAUGAUGCUCAUGUAUCCAAAUUCAGUGACCAAAAUAGCACAGAACUGAUGAAUAGUGUUAUGGUCAGAACAGAAGAAGAAAUCUCUGACACCGACCUUAAACAAGAGGAAUCACCCUCUGAUUUAGCCAGUGCUUAUGUUACUGAGGGUUUAGAGUCUCCCACUAUAGAAGAACAAGUUGAUCAAACAAUUGAUGAUGAAACAAUACUUAUCGUUCCUUCACCACAUGGCUUUAUCCAGGCAUCUGAUGUUAUAGAUACUGAAUCUGUCUUGCCUUUGACAACACUAACAGAUCCCAUACUCCAACAUCAUCAGGAAGAAUCAAAUAUCAUUGGAUCAUCCUUGGGCAGUCCUGUUUCAGAAGAUUCAAAGGAUGUCGAAGAUUUGGUAAACUGUCAUUAGAAUAAUUAUUAGAAAUAGGCAGUUCAGGCAAAGAAGCCACACUUUUAAUUACAACCUCUUCAAAGAAAUAGGAGCAACCCCCAAGAGGCUUAAUUUACCAAUUUAAAUAGCCACAGUGCUUAAGCCACACACACUGUUGCUGCUAUGACUUUUUACUUCCUUUAAACACAUCAUCUGAGGUUGAGUUUUAUGACAGUAUGUAGUUGAGUGGAGGCUGGGAGUUCUAAGCAUAAAUCCCUGUGUUUAAUGUUACAUGGGAAUAAGGAAUUUCAUUCACUUCAGCCAUUAAGUUUAGAAUCACGAAAGCUUAACUGCUGUGGUUUAGAGAAACUGUACUUUAAAGAUCAGACAUGACACUGCCUCCUCUCAAGCCUAGUUGUAGUUCAGAUGAGUCUUUUCAACAUGGUCUAGAGCUUACUAGUGAUCUUCUGAUCUUCAAGAAGACUAAGUUUGAGACUUGACCAGCAUACAAGUAUAGAGACCUAGGAGGUGGUCUUGUGGUGGUUACAUUUGGUUAACCCAUUGCUGGCAGUGGGAGCUGAUUUAGGCAGGGUAAACAGGAAAGCAUUAAAAGUUAAAAUUCACUACAGGUUUUUUGUUACUUUUAAAGGGAAUAUGGAUAAGCAUAGUAACAAAACCCACCAGAAUCUAAGCAGUUUUCACCCCCUCAGAAACCACUGUCAUUAGUUUACAAAGUUAGCACUUUGAAGUAAAACUAAAUGAGGAAGGAAGUAAUGUUACCUAUCCUUGAUACCGUGACCAUUUAUUAGAUGUUUUGCUAUAUAAAUUACCGAGAGAAUAGUUUGUCAUCCACUUAAUGUGUUAGCUGGUGGGGUACAAUAUAACCUCUCAUCUCAGGCAAUUUUAAAAAAACAAUAUUUGCUUCUAUAACAAAAGGAAACAAAUCUAAGAAUCAUUCCUGUACUACAGAAGGGUUAAGGCAAAGGUAGCCUUUUGGGCUUUUUAAUGAAUAUGACCCCUAUAG